rnacentral:ncRNA from 2 species
CAGGUCGAGAGGCGCUGCAACGGACCGGUGGUCCGCCACGCUCGGCCGGCACCACCAUUCCCAAGGGCGCCUCCGUGGA